CUGUUUAUAGAUAAUGUCUGCAGUUUCUGUUUGAGAGAGAUAAUUAUGACACUUAGCAUUGGAAAACUAAGAAGAACGUAAGCAGGUCAGCUAUCAGAAGUCUUCAGACUGGAGAGAUUCCUGGAGGGGGAGUGGCCCUUUAAUCCAUCAGCUGAAGCCAUCUGGUAGGACGCUCGUUGCAGAAAUGGUUAGUUCUGAAAUGUUGUAACUCAGCAACAUCACUGAAUGUCACAGAAUUGACAGGCACGGAGCUAAAAGGGCCUCUAGCCACCCCCACAACUCCGCUCUACCUCUGUCUCCCUAACACAUGACUUGGAACAAAUACACUCUAGGUACAAAGAUGGCUACCUGAAGUUUAUGAUCCCUACUCAUGGAGCUGCUUGAGGACUUCACAUUUUUUAAAAAGCUGCUUUGGGCACCCCCAUUCCUGAGGAGUUUUGUAGCUUGGUUUCUCUUUGCCACAUUACGUUUGUAAGACUAACAUUUUAUAACCAUAAGCAGUUAGGCCUUUUUAUUUUGAGAAAUUUAUCUGUAGCUUCCUUUUAUUUACACUUGGGGACUAUUUUUAAGUAACCGAUUGAAAUAUUUUUGUUUCUCCAUUGCAAGUGAAAUCCUUGUUGCUAAUCUUUUGCCACAUGUAAAAUUGUUCACUUGUUAUCAAGCAGGUAGUUCAAUAUCUGUAAUUCUUGAGUUCUUUUCAACUAGCAUGAUGCUAGGUGUCACUCACUGUUUUUUAAUUGUGGGAGAUUGAUGCGUCAGUGCAUGAAGUGGGGGGUGGUCACCAGCAUCUAACUCAAAGUGUGAUUAUAGCUAUCUUACCACAUUUUUUUUUUCUUUCUCACUCUGUCACCCAGGCUGGAGUGCAGUGGUGUAAUCUCAGCUCACUGCAGCCUCGACCUCCUGGGCUCAAGCGAUCCUCCUACCUCAGCCUCCCAAAUAGCUGGGACCACAGGCGCAUGCCACCCCACUAAGCUAAUUUUUCUAUUUUUUGCAGAGACAGGGUUUUGCCGUGUUGCCUAGGUUGUUCUCAAACUCCUGAGCUCAAGCCUGCCUCAGCCUCCCAAAGUGCUGGGAUUACAUGUGUGAGCCACCAUGCCUGGCCGUCACUAAUCUUCAAGGUUAAUAUUUGGAGGACCCAUCCAGAGUCCAAAGGUGGUCUUCGAGGGAUAGCACGAGGUGGUCUGACAGGACUAACACUUACCAGCCUCUAUGCACUAUAUAAUAACUGGGAGCACAUGAAAGGCUCCUUGCUCCAACAGUCACUCUGAAGAUUUUGCCAACUCAUGAAUGGAGGACACUUCAGUAGUCAUCUAGAUCCUUUUAUAAGACAGUUUGGAGUUAUUCUCUCUCUUCUACCUACAAUUAGUUUGAAAAAUUGGAGAUUUUGAUUUGCUGUGAUGAAAAUCCUGGAUGGCUGACCAAGACUGGCACUUGUUCCAGCCAUUAGUGAGUUGAAGCCAAAGCCCUUUGGUGACUCACUGAGUACCAUGGUUCUGUUCUCCUCUGGAGAUCUUGCACGUAUCUGUUUUCCUCCCCCAUGAACUAGAAAACCACUUACUCCCAGAAUUCAGGUCGUGCUUGUUAGUACUAUAUCACCAAGUCCAUUCAUUUAAUGAUCCAAAACUGUAAUGUUGCACUGUAUUCCAAAUAAAGGGUAAAAACAGAACCAAAGUUAUAACUCC
rnacentral:lncRNA from 10 species